UACGGGGGGGGCAAGCGUUGUUCGGAAUUACUGGGCGUAAAGGGCUCGUAGGUGGCCAACUAAGUCAGACGUGAAAUCCCUCAGCUUAACUGGGGAACUGCGUCUGAUACUGGAUGGCUUGAGUUUGGGAGAGGGAUGCGGAAUUCCAGGUGUAGCGGUGAAAUGCGCAGAUAUCGGGAAGAACACCCGUGGCGAAGGCGGCUCUCUGGGACGGUACUGACGCUGAGACGCGAAAGCGUGGGGAGCGAACAGG
rnacentral:rRNA from 1 species